rnacentral:rRNA from 1 species
GGAGUUUGGGCCGUGUCUCAGUCCCAAUGUGGCCGGUCACCCUCUCAGGUCGGCUACUGAUCGUCGCCUUGGUGAGCCAUUACCUCACCAACUAGCUAAUCAGACGCGGGUCCAUCCUAUACCACCGGAGUUUUUCACACUGUACCAUGCGAUACCGUGCGCUUAUGCGGUAUUAGCAGUCGUUUCCAACUGUUAUCCCCCUGUAUAGGGCAGGUUACUCACGCGUUACUCACCCGUCCGCCACUCAGUCAUCUGUUUCUUCUCCCCGAAGGAAUCAGGCGCAGAGCUUCGUUCGACUUGCAUGUGUUAAGCACGCCGCCAGCGUUCAUC